CGAGCAUGGGGGCCAGCGCCAGUGCGCUCACCGUGGCCGGCAUCCACCGGUAGGCGUCGCCACCCGCAUCCCCGAGGAGGUCGUCCUUGACGGCGGGCGCGAUGGCGCGCGAGACGGCCGACGAGACGAGCAUGCACGCCGUGGCCGCCGGCAUCAGGGCGUCUGACGCGCGGCGCCCCUGUGCGUAGCCGAUGUAGACGCAAAAGGCCCAUGAAAAGAAGAACGACCCGACAAAGCGGCUGACGACGCGCACAGAGACGUCGUCGACGGCAAAGAACAGGUUGGGCAUGGCCGAGAAGACGAGGGCAAAGGCGACGAGGCCCGUCGGGCGGCGCCACCCGGUGGUGAGGCCGCGACGCACCGGCGCGAUCAACGUGGUGGCGAACCCGACGGGCAUGGCGGCGGCCCUCGCGAUCGACAUGAGGGCCUUGGUCGUGUAGGGGCCGCCGCCGGGCCGGUCGGCAAUCUCGGCCGUGAGAGCAAACACGACAAAGUUGGGCACCAGCACGGCGAGCCAGUAGAGGCCGGCCGCCGGCGCCAUCCACGCCGCCGUCGCCCACACGCGUCGCCCCACCCAUUGGCGCCACCGGGUCCACCGGCAGUGGCGCCGGUGGCCUUCUUGCGCGCGGUCGACGCAUGGGACGUUGCCCAUCGCGGCAGUGGCAGGCAACUCGUGCGCCGUCUCUGCCGUGAUGGGCGUCACGGCGCCCGGUGGCACCGACGGCGCGGUGUCGACCGUCGAGCCCUUGGACGUGCGCCGCGGUCUCGUUCCAAUGCCAUUGGUGCCGACGACAACGACAACGCCUGCCCCUAGGUCGGCAUCGAUCGUAUGUGGGGCGCCGCCGGUGGUCCGUUCGCAGUGCUCGCGACCCUUAUGACCCAUGCAGUGCGCAAUCCUCUCGCGCUCUCUUGCGAGAGCGCCGGCCCAUCGGUCGCGCUCGCCGGGCGAGGCGGCGUCGAGGGGAGAAAGAGCACCAGGCGGCGCUCUGGCCGCGACCCGGAAACCAGGCCCAAAGCGCCAGGCAAAGAGGCUGCGUAGACGAGAAAAAGAGACCCAUCCACCAAAAAACCACAAACUUUCCUCUUUUUUCUACUAUUCCAA
rnacentral:lncRNA from 1 species